rnacentral:rRNA from 1 species
UACGAAGGGUGCAAGCGUUAAUCGGAAUUACUGGGCGUAAAGGGUGCGUAGGCGGUUGUUUAAGUCUGUCGUGAAAUCCCCGGGCUCAACCUGGGAAUGGCGAUGGAUACUGGACAGCUAGAGUGUGUCAGAGGAUGGUGGAAUUCCCGGUGUAGCGGUGAAAUGCGUAGAGAUCGGGAGGAACAUCAGUGGCGAAGGCGGCCAUCUGGGACAACACUGACGCUGAAGCACGAAAGCGUGGGGAGCGAACAGG